rnacentral:rRNA from 1 species
GUUUAUGGCCACUCCAUUCUGAACACGCCUGAUCUCAUCUGACCUUGGCUGCCAAACAGAGUCAGGCCUGGUUAGUACGUGGAUGGGAGACUGCCUGGGACUACCAGGUGCCAUAAGCU